CCUACGGGAGGCAGCAGUAAGGAAUCUUCCGCAAUGGGCGAAAGCCUGACGGAGCAACGCCGCGUGAGUGAUGAAGGCCUUCGGGUCGUAAAGCUCUGUCAGAGGGGAAGAAAUGCAGGUGGUGAACAACCAUUCUGUUUGACGGUACCCUCAAAGGAAGCACCGGCUAACUCCGUGCCAGCAGCCGCGGUAAUACGGAGGGUGCGAGCGUUGUUCGGAAUUAUUGGGCGUAAAGCGCGUGUAGGCGGUUUGUUAAGUCGGAUGUGAAAGCCCCGGGCUCAACCUGGGAAGUGCAUUGGAUACUGGCAGACUUGAGUACGGGAGAGGAGAGUGAAAUUCCCAGUGUAGGAGUGAAAUCCGUAGAUAUUGGGAGGAACACCGGUGGCGAAGGCGGCUCUCUGGACCGAUCCUGACGCUGAGACGCGAAAGCGGGGGGAGCAAACAGGAUUAGAUACCCCUGUAGU
rnacentral:rRNA from 1 species